rnacentral:rRNA from 1 species
AUUGAACGCUGGCGGUAUGCUUUACACAUGCAAGUCGAACGGCAGCGCGGGCUUCGGCCUGGCGGCGAGUGGCGAACGGGUGAGUAAUGCAUCGGAACGUGCCCAGUAGUGGGGGAUAGCCCGGCGAAAGCCGGAUUAAUACCGCAUACGACCUGAGGGUGAAAGCGGGGGACCGAAAGGCCUCGCGCUAUUGGAGCGGCCGAUGUCGGAUUAGCUAGUUGGUGGGGUAAAGGCUCACCAAGGCGACGAUCCGUAGCUGGUCUGAGAGGACGACCAGCCACACUGGGACUGAGACACGGCCCAGACUCCUACGGGAGGCAGCAGUGGGGAAUUUUGGACAAUGGGGGCAACCCUGAUCCAGCCAUGCCGCGUGCGGGAAGAAGGCCUUCGGGUUGUAAACCGCUUUUGUUCGGGAAGAAAUCCUCUGGGCUAAUACCCCGGGGGGAUGACGGUACCGGAAGAAUAAGCACCGGCUAACUACGUG